rnacentral:rRNA from 1 species
AUGCUAGUAGAAUAUCUUCCAGUUUCAGAAAAUGCAGCAAACUUUAUAAAGGAAAGACUCUAUGAUACAAGCUCAAAAAGGUUGCAUCAUAGUUAUCCCAAUGGCCCAGCAAAUGCACCAGGAUUUUUGCAUGAUUAUGCCUUUUUAAUCAAUGGCUUGUUGGAUCUCUAUCAAUAUGGUGGUUUGUUAGGCUGCAAAGAAAGUUUGAGCAGCAGAGGUGAAGUUGAUGAUUAA